CUUAAUUGACGGAGCCACCCAGGAACCCUGCUUUCACUUUAAAUCGAGAAGGAAGGACCAUCAUGCAAAAAGGUAGCAGCCUAUGGAAGAAAAGCCGCCUCUGAAAUCCCAGAUGCUAGGCCACUGGUGCUGGCAUCCCAAACCCUACUAACAAUGAACCCUGCACCUCCAUCCAUGGGAUUUAGCCAAGGUCCUCCUGUCCCCCAGGAUCCAGUGGAGCCAAAAGGCAGAUCUAGCAUCGGACUAUUCCUUGCCUUUUGAUACACUGUCCAAGUCAGCCCCAUUAGAACUCCCAACUCCUGAGAUUUUGGUGAAAAGACAUUCUUUUUUUCCUGGGAAUGCUGAUGAAGUAAGUCUAAACAAAGCUUCCGCAAGGCUUGCAGCUGCCAUGUGGGCAAAGCCUGGGUGAGAAUGAAGUCCAUGCAGAGAAAAACAGAGCCAAGUGGUAGGCAAGAGAGAAACACAAAUCUGAUGACAUUGGUUGAACGUCUGGUUGUCUACAGCAAGUUUUACCCUUGCGUUUUCAAGUUGUAUGAGCCAAUACAUCAACUUUUGUUUA